AUGAAGGAGAUGCUCGGAGGGUGCUGCGUGUGUUCUGACGAGAGGGGAUGGACAGAGAAUCCGCUGGUGUACUGCGAUGGACAGGGCUGUACCGUUGCUGUACAUCAAGCGUGCUAUGGCAUUGUCACUGUACCAACAGGACCUUGGUAUUGUAGGAAGUGCGAGUCGCAAGAACGCAGUGCACGGGUGCGUUGUGAGUUAUGUCCGAGUCGAGAUGGAGCCCUUAAGAGAACAGAUCAGGCUGGAUGGGCGCAUGUUGUGUGCGCUCUUUAUAUCCCAGAAGUUCGAUUUGGUAACGUGACUACAAUGGAACCAAUUAUAUUGCAUCUUAUUCCUUCGGAAAGAUUUAGCAAGACGUGCUACAUCUGUGAGGAACAAGGUAGAGGUAGCAGAGCAAAUGUGGGAGCCUGCAUGCAAUGUAACAAGACAGGCUGCAGGCAGCAAUUUCAUGUCACAUGUGCACAGGCUCUGGGCUUACUUUGCGAGGAAGCUGGCAAUUAUCUUGAUAAUGUCAAAUAUUGCGGAUAUUGCCAGCAUCAUUAUUCAAAAUUGAAAAAGGGUGGCAACGUAAAGACGAUACCACCGUACAAACCGAUACCCGCCGAUAAUGGUUCGUCGGACUCGUCGCCGGAGAAGGAGGCAGAAACACCGAUAAAAUCGUCGAGCGGCAAACGGAAGAGCUUGAGUUCCAAGUCCACUGCGAAUUCUAAAAGUAAAUCCAAUGCUAGUCCCAGUUUAGAGAUAAAUGGCGUAAUGGAUGACAAGAGUGGUGGUAGCGGUCGUAAUACGCCUAAAGAUAAUUCCACGAGUUCCAGCAAAUUUACGACAUCCAACUUUGUGGAGACUAUUGUCACACAGUCGGAGAGCGUGUUUGGGCACGAUGGCACCGGUGCUGUCACCACUGUUGCCACGGCAGCAAUCGCUUCCGCGUUGAAAACAAGCGGUAGCAAUUCGAACGCGGUGCACAAGAGCAUCGGUGGUCAGGGAAAAUCCAAUUCGUCGACUUCCAAUAAGACAUCGAGUCACACCAGCAAGAAGAGAAAGACUGGAGCACGUACGCCGACUGUGAUAGGAAACGAGAACUCGAACCAGUCGGCCAGUUCAGAAACUAGCGGCUCGGUCGUGGUGGCCGUUAGCAGUGUCGUGCAGCAAACCAUCCCGAGCAACAAUGUGCAGCCAACAAUCACCGAAGCCACGAGUUUAAGUACAACGACGGAACCGGAAAAAUCGAAAAAGACAAAAAUGGAGAGCCCGAUUCAGUCGUCAUCGUCGAAUACGCCGGUUGCUACAGAGGCAACCACGACACCUGUGAUAAUGACAGUGACACAAUCCCAGUCCUCGGUCGUCACUCAGUCGCCGACAACUACGUCGAACAGCAUCGUCGUCUCGGUGCCGUUGAUCGCCACCUCGCUCGCCAACACAGUUCAGAGCGUGGUGACGAGCGCGCCGACGAUAUACCAGCAGCUGCAGCAGAGUAUAAUCACCACGGCCGCCAAUACCGAGCUGCGAUCCAGCGCGAUGGUGACCACCGAGAGAUUCGCCGCCGAGGAAACUCCGGCGAAACGAUCUCGUUCCCAAUCAUUGGAUAAGCAAGAGAAAUCGCGCAAGCCGAAGCGCGGCUCGUCCAAUAGCCAAGGAGCCCUGCCGCAAUUGCAGACGGCCUCGUCAGUCGUAACUUCCGUAUCCAGCACCGCAGUUGUGGCGACGUCCAAGAGGGGCGCGAGAAAUAAUCAUCACACUCCUCCACCGGCCGUCACGGUGACUCCUGUGACCUCGGUCCCGACAAUAAUUCAGGGUCCCACAGCCGGCAUCGGACACUUCAGCAGUGUAAGCGGCACAGGCCCUGCAAACAUUAUGGGACCGACAGUCAAGGAGUCACCGCCUAGCAGUCCUGGAUCGGAGAGUAUGAGCAGUAGCACCAGUAAACGAAAGAGGAAAGCUGCCGCAUCUACACCUAUUCCAUCUGCAUCGACUACACCGACCGCUCUUACAACAAUAAAGGAAGAGAAUGUAAAAUUAUUUCAAAAUGGGGUCAGUGCUCCACAUAUGCUAGGGAAUCAGUUGAAUCCUACUUCAACAAUGGCGCAAAAGAUGUCGGAUACACUUUCACAGGAACUCGAGGCCCAUUCUAUUUUUACAGAAGCGAGUAACUCCAGUACAAACUUAGUUGGACCGCAGUUGCACAGUCGAGUAAUUGCAUCUAUACGAUCUAGCCAACCGGGACCGCCUACUUCGUUUUCCUCGGUUUUCUCCACAAACAGCAAUAGUGCGAAUCCUACACCCGGUACUAGUGGAACUCUGGGUGGUGGAACAAUUCCACAGACACUGGAUCAACUUCUAGAAAGGCAAUGGGAGCAGGGAAGUCAAUUUCUAAUGGAGCAAGCUCAACAUUUUGACAUUGCAUCCCUGCUUUCCUGCCUACAUCAAUUGAGAGCUGAGAAUCUUAGGCUAGAGGAACAUGUAAAUAAUCUCCUGCAGAGGAGAGACCAUUUAUUGGCUGUGAAUGCUAGACUCGCUAUUCCGUUGACAACUCAGCCUAGUUCACAUCCAGUGAAUAAUAUACAUCCAACGGUGAACCCCUCUCAUCCUAAUGUCUCGCACUCAGAAGUGCCGCCUGGCGCUCCGGCCCCGGUACCUAGAUCGAGUCGCGAACCGCGAGUGAACAACACUUAUAUGCCUCACUCCAGUUCCAGCGGUCAUCCAACGACGUUGGAAAACGGUUUACCACCGGAUCCCUCCCCACCUGCAGCAGCUUCUCUCUCUCAGUAUCAGCAUCGUGGAUCAUUGGUCGCGCCACAACCAAGCCCAACAAUUAGGCACAGUCCAGCCGGAGGUGGAUACCUUCAAGGUCAACCGAGCAACAUAGUAUCGCCGGCACCGGCGAACACUUCCGGUGUGGUCCGUAAUUCAUCUGUCACGCCGGAUCCAUUACGCGGAGUGCCGAGGUCGGCGUCGCAGUCGUCGAGCAGUUACAUACCGUCGAUGUAUCAGCCUACUAUGUCCAGUCUCACUGGUAAUCAAGUAGGCAACGUUCAUAAUCUCCAUCCGCACGGACCUUCGCCGACCAGCCACGGGCCACCGGGUAAACCCAGCUGAAGCGGACUGAAUCGAAGAUCAUGGACUUAUCGAGCAGAAGACGCGUCUUAUCAGACACGAGGGAGAUUGCGAAUCGAUCGGGGUUAGGCGACUUGCGCUCUAUUCUCUCUUUUGGGCCCCCCGGUGCCACGAAAUCGUCCCUAAUUGUCCACAAAUCGACAACCACCCUCGAUUUCCCGAACCGUUAAAUACAGCCACCCCGAAGGCAGCAAUUGAACGGGAAAGAGGAGGGAGGAGUGGUUCCACUAGUCCCUUGGACAUGGGGGAGAGUUCGGGUUCACCGGGCACACCCCGUAGAAUAUGGAUUCAAUUACACCUCAUUGUACUGCGGUGUCUAUAAACAACGAUGUUUUCACAGCUGAUAGUGGCCCACCGUUCUGCGGGUCAUGCACUCCAACUUUGAAGUUGUUAAUGACGAUAAUGACGUGCGAUAAUGAAGCGUUCGAGCCGCGCCGGCAACUGGAACGCGAUGAGAGCGAGAAGGAGGACUCGAGGAGGACGCGUUUCGGCCCCCGUCGUCGCAAUGACGAGGAGGAAAAACGGAGGAUCGUGAGAAGACUCGCAGCCGUCGACGCCAUUAUCCCUGCUGAGUUGCAGAGCGUCGCGACGCCGCAAUAUCGACGUACCGCCUACCGUAUGUCCCUCCGUUUCCUGCUCUUUUUCUCUCCUUGCUAUAUCUCUCUCUCUCUCCGGAUCCACCCCCACGCGAAACACAAGAAGCACUUUUAGGGUGUUUCAGUUAUCAACUCUUCGGCGGUUUCGGCCAUCUUGCCACUACCCUCUUUUAAUGCAAAACUGUUGUCGAGAACGUUGUUCUUGAAAUGCGAAAUUUGAUGAGUUUGAAAGAUACCUUGCAAAUAAUGGCAGAUCUUCCAAAUCUAUCUCGCCCGACUUUUAAUUAUAAAACUUAGGUAGUUAACAAAGAAAUAGGUGAUAAUAUCUUAUUUAAACAUAAACUUUUGACUUAAUUUAACAAGCAAAAAAGUUUUUAAAGUUUGCGAUGUUUUUAUUGUCGGGAAAUUUUACCUGAAGGUUUAUGCAUCGAUUUCUAAUCUGUCAGAAAAAACAUGAAUUUUAUUUCAUAUCAAUUGCACUUUUUAAAGGUUUGCGAAAUAGAUGAUAGACAAAUUUUCAGAACUACUUUUAUUUGGCUUUGUUAUUCACAAUGGUGAUGAUGAUGCUCGCCGCACAUCAUCUCUAUUAUUCUACCGCGAUAAUGAUGUAUAAACGAUGUACUUAUCUUUUAAUUCUAUUUUGAUCAUUUUUAUUUACAAACCACGUCCUGCUGAACGUUCGUAAAAAUAUUUCAUAGAUAUACAGAUGUAUAGAUUUGAUGGUACAAAGGAUGAAAAGAUGGAAACUGAAUUGGCUGUUGCAAAAUAAACUCAAUUUACUUUCUUUUUAAAAAUAAAAUCUAA
rnacentral:misc_RNA from 1 species